CAGGAGCUGAUCUGUUCAGGCUCUUUGGCCAUUUUCACCUGCUCAAGUUGAGAGGAGUUGCAUGUAGGAGUCUGAUGAGGCAGGAGGGAACACUCCUUCAUGAACACAGAUGGGCUCCCAAGGGAUACCCAAGACAAGGUGUCUCUGAUGGUGAACCCUUGAAAAAGUUGUCUGGAAGUUGUUCAUUCCUGCUUCUGACAGGAGGAAUUCUCUGUUCAGGGAGAAAUGUUUGAAAGAAGGUGUGAUUGUGGUCAAAGCUGAGACUACACUAAGGCCUCUCCCCAUAGAGUGUAGAAGCAAUACUGUGGAAUAUUGCCAACUAGUGAUGAGCAAACCUCAGAAGUUCAGAAUUUCACUUUGGAUACCCACCCUGAAGUUUAGAUGUUACUUGAAACUUAUCAAAACCUCUACAGUAGAAAUGAAUAGAAAAUCUCAGUCUUCUGGAAAGGUUUCUGCUACUUCCUUAUUCCAUCUAAUUUGGAAAUCCUGUAAGAAAAGAAUUUUUCAUGCUGUUUUGGCUGUUCUGAUUCCUGUGCCUGUUCAAACGAAGAUGUGGAGGAGAUGAUCUUUGUUCCUGUGAUAAGUACAUCAUCACAAGAGAGAGGCAGCUGACGUGAAUGCUGGUCUCCCCGCACCUUCCUUGAUCUGCUACUGAGCUCAUUCUGGGUCCAUUUGGGAGUUAUAAAGAAAUGUUUGUGAGCAAGGACUAACAGGACAAGUACGACACAGACUCAUAUUAUUUUCUUUCUUCCCUCUUGAGAUGUAAACCAUCUUCAAAUUACGAAGACAAAUGGCCUGGCCUGCCUUGCGUGAGUGAGAUCCAGAAAUCUAUUGCAGCAUUUGUUUGAAUUUGAGCCCUUAAGGCUAGACUGAUGCUUCUGUCAGUGAGCUCUCUCUUACAGAAGGGCCAUGGAAAAGGAAAGGCACCAAUCAAUUAAAAAAAAAACUCGAGGCAUUCUGCUAUACAGUUUUUUAUUAGGAUAAGCAGUUUGGCCAUGCAAAUAUUCCUUGAAGAACAAAGCCUUGUCCACCCUUCCCUGAGCACUUACCCCCUGAUAGAAAAAAGAUUUGGUACAGUUACAUCAUGCACAAUGGGUGAAGGAUAUGGGGAAUCCGCACAGGGGGGCUAGAGGUCCCAAGUAGUCUGGAGCUCUGCUACACAAUGUUAUCCCCAUGCAGUUAGAGAAAAAUGGGCAAAGUCAGAUUUGGAGGGUGAGAACAGUUUAGGGUGCAGUAGCUGUUUUAUGCAGGUACAUGGUAACUCACUGGACUGGACUGAGCCAUGAGAAUGCUGCUUGAAGUGUUCGUUACACAAAACAACUUCAGAGUUUAUAAUAGAGGAAGCUGUUCUCAUUUGCUGUUGCUGUUUUGGUCAAAGAUUGAUGAGCAAGUAAAAUAAAAAGGAAAGAGCUUUGGGCUUAGUGCCAUAAAACAGGAACCAUAGCAUGGAAGGAUCUUAAAAAAACAUUUUUAAAGGAGAAAAAAAUAUUGCAGGUUGUGUGUCUGUGUGGGAAAUCUCAGUACAUUUUAAAUCACAGCAAAAUAGAGACCAACUCAGACAUCCUAUCAGCUGCAUCAUUAACAAAACUAUGAAAUUAAAAUUUGUGUUUAAUGAGCUAUGUGUGGAGCAAAUUCAGUCAUUUAAUUAGUUCAUUCUGAUCCUAACUUCUAAUUCGGGGUCCUUAAACGUUCUUACUUUGCUCUUUCCCUGUCUCCUUAGAAACUGGCAAAAGCAUGUAAAAAGUACAAGUAGAGACCUAAACUUAGAUUAAAUAGCUAGCUCCUGAGUGCUUCUCAUCAGUGUAAGACUCGGGUCAGCAAAACUGACAAGUAGCUCUCCAUGACAGCUAAGGACUUUGAAAAUGAACAAAAAAAAAAAAGUCAUUUAGAGAGCUUCUCUUUUGAUGUAAACAGGAGAGGUCAUGUCUUUCUAACUGAUAUGGUAUUCAUUCUGGCUAUGAUUUCAGCUAUGAAAAGAUUACAGAGACGUAUAUAUGGAUAAGAAUUCUCAUACUGUCUUCAGGGGUACUGGAAUAGUUGAGCUUACAUUUGACCUUUUCCUACCCAUCAGACUUCAUACUUUUUAUCUAUGUUAUGUCACAUCACAAUAUCAUUAUAUGUAAACUAUCUUAGCACUUCAGCCUAUUUGUCCCUAUCUGUCCACUCCUGCCCAUCCCAUCCCCAAAAGAAAAUCUUUCCAGAGUUACCAUAGGCUGAAGUUUCCUUGGGCAAUUUUUAUAGACCAAAUUGCAACAAAAAUAGCUCCUGAGCUGACGUACUGGCUUUCUCUGGGGUGGGAGCUAACCUGCCCCUUCCUGCAGUGUUCUCUGCAGGCUGACACUGCUUCAUAGUCUUUGUGGUGUUGUUCCUGGCCUUUGACGCAGGUUUUGCUGUAACAUACAUGGAAUGUGUAUAUUAAUUCUUAUAAAAAAACUCCAUGGCCACUUUCCCUAGCAGAAUGCUGCAUGAGCAUGAGAGAGGCAGGCCACUACCUUGCUGAAUAAUGACUCAGUCAGCCCACAGCUAAUCUCCCUCAGGCAUCAUUUGUAACAUUCCCUCUGCACAGAUAAGGUAUAAGGCCCAGGCCAGAGCCCAUCCAUUUUAUGAACAUAAUAACCACCAAAUAGUGACUAUUAUUUAUCUGCUUCCUCAGAUAUGAAACUUUUAAUGUGAAUAUUCCCCAGUUUGGGGAUUAUACUGACAAUCAAUACCCCCUUGCCCCGACACUUUCCUAAAUUAUUAACCUGUGCGUGGAGCAAGCUAUCAUUGAAAUGAAAACAUAACUAUCUAUCUAUGGGAAUAGAAUGGCAAAGGGUGAAAGAAUUAGAACUGAGCAAAUAAUUCACUCAACAAAUGUAGACCUUUUUCCUAUUCACAGAAUAGCUGCCAGAAGAGCACAAAUCUGAAUUUGCUACUGUUAUUGUUGGUGAGGUUACAAUCCAGUCCUUAUGUAAUCAUACCGCUUAGAUGCUGCAUAUUAUACCUGUGCUCCAGAGAAUCCACUCACUUCUAACCAACUUCUGGGUACAGUGCAAGGUGUUUGUUUUGAUCUAUAGUACAACCACUCAUGGUCUGGGUCCCAAGGAUCGUAGAGACCACCUCCAUCCUCGUGUUUUAAGUUGGCAACUGAAAUCAGCUGGAACACUUGAGUUUAGCUUUCUUCAUUGGGGAGCUGGUGCAGCAUAUUCUCCAUGGAAGGCUCCUGAUUUGGGAGCUUCCUUCCUUCAGCUGAUAGAUCCUCAAUAUGUUGACUGUCAUGACACAUUACUUGCUAUUUGCCCAGACUUUUCUUAAGAGGGUGGGUGGACUGAGCUGAGUGAGGGGCAUGUCAGUUAUAUUAAGAUGGUGAGUUGUUGUUGUACUCACAAUUAGAUUAAUUUGAAUUAUUUUGUGAUUUGUGAUUUUAAUGUGUGAAUUGUUCCUCCACCUGGGGGAUAGGCAAAUUGUACAAGGCCAAAUAAACAAACAAAUAAAUAUACACAUCCCCUGGCGGUUUUCAUAAGAAUGGCUCUUUGCCCCAGUUUCUGUGGUUGCAAUUUUCCUUCCCUAUAUGAUAGUGCAGGGGACUGUGGACUAGUUGUUCAUCUCACUCCUUCUUUCCUUCCAGAGCAUGUAUUGCAUGCACUGUAUGUAGCUGGUAAAACAUGUUGGGAUCAUUUUGGAUGAAUGGCACUGUACAAAAUAUAGAAUAUUAGUAUUAUUAAUUACAGGCUCAGUUACCCAGAGUGAGAUGGUUCUCAGGAUACCCAGGUCUGCGAAUCACCUUGUUACCACCAGCCUGUUAGCCUUCCAUACAGUCUCCUCUGUACUAUGCUAGGCCUUACUUGGCUUUGCAGGUUAACAAUAGGUGCACCCCAACCCCCAAGCCCUUUUAAGUAUUUCCCUCUAGCGUGCAGCCCUUUAUCCUGCACCUAGAAAGUAAACAAAUAGUGUGUUUACAUUUAUGAAGUCGGGAUCCCAACCAGCCUAAUGUGCUUGUGGCAAGAGGUCACAUGGUGAUUCACAUUUCUGGGUGCCCCAAGAACCAUCACACAGAGACAUGAUGAAGGAGGUGCAGCAGAGUCAUGAUGCAGCUAGAACCCCCAGGAAUCAUCCAGGGUCUGCAUAUCAGCAGUACAGCUUACUCUCCCCUUUAAGGCAGGCCAGACCUACUGCCUAAUGUGGAGGAAAGGCAGGGUCAUGACCUGAGCUCCUGGUGCACCCUUUCAGGUAGCUAGCAUCAGCAUGAGCAGUAGAGGGAGGAGACCCUGUAUGCCCCAGUCGGUUGGCAUCUAGUCCUUACUCAACGAUGGAAUAUUCUCAUGGCAUGUCAUUGUCAUCCAUUUUAUGAUAUGGUAUGAUGAUAGGCUGUUAAUCUAAUCACUGGAUUGUUAGUCUUUAUAUGUAAAUCUUUCCCCUAUAGUACAUUAGUGGAUCUAUCUAUCCAUCUAUCCAGAUACUUCCAAUGCUCCCAUCAUUGUGGUAGCUAAGCACUAGUAAAUGGCCAUAUCCAUUUCUAGUGGAACUCUACUAAAAUGAAUGGAGUUACAGCAAGGAUGGAUUUACCUCUUGUGUAUACUGCACAAUGGAUCUGCCAACGCGGAUACAAAUCUGAGACUGCAAUCUCUUCUGCUUUCCAGAACAAUCGUAUAAAAAGAGAGGGUAAAGUAUACUCUGACCCCAGAGUAGGGUAUGCAGUAGAAUAUCACAUACUCUAUCAGCUUUAAGCUGGUGUGCACUGAAUUUAGAGUAUACCUGCUGCCUUAUUUAUUUUUUUAGUCUUUGUUUUCUAUUCUUUCUCACCAUAACUAUCUUUAGUAAAUACAGAAAAUGGGGUUCAUUAUACUGCAUAAUAGAUUUAUUUUAUUCCUUGUCUGUUAGGCUUUCUGUAUUUAUGGCUCUAUCACAAAAUGCAGCCAAGAAUAGAAAUGGUUUCCUCUCAUUGAGGAGUGAAUCUGCCAAAAGUUAUUGCUAUAGGAAAUCUAAGUCACAUUGGAUUACCACCUGGCACUAUCAAAGCUAAAGCACUGUCAACUUUAAAGGAAGAAAAAAAUGAUCAGAUUAGUAUCAGCUUAUAAAAUAUAUUGCGGACUGUUUUCACUGAGAAAGCAUUUACUUUCCUUCUUGUAAUAAAAAGAGAUAUAUUAAUGAAUAAAUAAAAUGACGAUAAAAUAAAGUUCAAAUCUGCACUUUAAAUAGGGAUUUCUUGAAUAUCUCAUAAUCAGAAAAUAGUUGGAGCUGGAAAGCUGCAGAGAAAGGACCUGAAUCUUAAAGCUCAAGAGUGCCUGGUUUUGAGAUUUGGUUCAUUUCCUUAUAGGGAUGGGCCACCAGAUACAUAUUAGGACUCCAGUGUACAUUUUCCAAAACGUGGGUCUUUUGAUCUGGGCUGAUUUCUCCAGCUGAUGAGAAUUUGCAAGGUGAGCUGAAUCAACUUGAAAAAUUCUGAGUCACUAAACAUGAAAGGUACCCUUGUAAAGGAGAGGUCUCUGAGAUGUGGGGAAAUGCUCAUAAAAUCCAUGGUGGAAUCUGAGCCCUUUUUACAUAUUCUUUACGGAUACUUCACUUAUUUAGAUUUUGAUUUGCUGAGAAAUAUUAAUGCAUCAAAAUGCCAAUCCAAUAUAUAUAGUAGCCAUGAGUGUUGAAAGUAAUUACUUACAAUUGGUUGCAAGUUUUUAAACAACCACCAAAUCAUGUGCUCAUCACAGAUUAAUUCCUGCAGUUUCGUCAAGAUGUCUGCACUUGACUGAAACUGAGGACCAGUGUCUGCAUUUUCUAGAUGCUCAGCAUGCCCUUUGUUUAUUUGGACCUUGUCUUCCUGGCAGACAGACAAGCUGUUUGAACUAUUUGGGAAAUUUAAGAAAGGAACGUUUGUGUGGGUGUUUCGGUGCAUUCUGGGAGCUUAUGUAGUUCAAAGGCUGGAGACGUUUGCUGUUGUGAGGGUACUCAUAACCCAGGUUCUUGCUACCUUAUAGGCUGAUGGGAAUGCCUUUAUAACUGACAUUUGCUUUGUUUUCCACUCAUUGGUUCUCCAUGGUUUUCCUCUGUGCAAUACAAACACUACCUCUCUUAGUCCUAACAAUUUUGGCUUUCAUGCAGUGAUUUUCCCAGCUGUAGAAUUGGAUUUAAGAAGUCUUCUCUACCGUACUGGAAACCCACCUCUAUUAUGAUGGGAGAAUUGUUUCCUUAUUUUUUUCUCCUAUGGGAUCCUCCAAAUAGAAUUGUAAACUGCUUGAAUAGUUUUCAGAGAGAACAUGUUGAAACUAUGGGAGUUGUAGCUAUUCUCUUUAUAUUAAGGGCUGAUGUUUUUAUUGUUUAUUUUAAAUAACCCCUGGAGGCUGAUCAGCAGGUAUAUUUAAAUAAAUGGCAAAAAUAAUUAGCAGGCAGCUGUAUUCACUACUAAUUACAGACACUGAGUGCCCUUCUAGGGUAGUCCCUCAUAGUCUGCACUGAACCAGCACAAUCUGGCGAAAAACAGCUACAGAACAUUUUUCACUAUUAGCCCAAAUUCAUCUCCAAUAAAACUCAGAUGAAAUCAGUGGAGUUACACAACAGGUGGAUGUGGUCCAUUGAUGUGCCCAAUUAUGCUGAGGUCAAAGGUAUUCUCAUUGCUCCUAAAUGUUUAUUGGCUGCUACUACUAUUAGCUGUCUUAGCUGCACCACUGUAAACCUGGAGUAACUCCUCUAAAGUAACUAGUAAGUGAAGCCACUCCAGAUUUAUAGAAGUGUAACUGAGAUUGAAAUGUGUUUCAUAAUAAUUUGGGUGAGGAGAGCUAUGUACUGCAAAUCACAUAUUUAUUAUUACUAUAUAUUUGUGCUAAGAAUACUUACUGGGUGUUCACGUAAGUUUUGAAACAGCAAGUGUUGUAAAGAAGCCUAUCGUUUUUUCUGGACUGGGGAGAACAAGUGAUUUAGAAGGAAAAACAAUGUGUGAAAACUAUGACCAGAUUUAAAAUUGGCUCUUUAUAGAUCAAGAAUAAUUUCCCCAAGGCUCAGGAUGUUAGGACUAUUUCCUUUUUAUUAGAUUCUCUGCCCUCCCAGAGAAGAAAAUCUUAUCCUCUUCCCGUGGGUACAAAACUUUGAGGACACACUAGUUGACA